ensembl:lncRNA
GAGUCCAUCCUGCCCUGAUGACAGAGAUGGACAGUGGAUGUAGUUAGAGUCCAUCCUGUCCUGAUGACAGAGAUGGACAGUGGAUGUAGUUAGAGUCCAUCCUGCCCUGAUGACAGAGAUGGAUAGUGGAUGUAGUUAGAGUCCAUCCUGCCCUGAUGACAGAGAUGGACAGUGGAUGUAGUUAGGGACCAUGACAGAUAAGAAAGGAGUCCAUGACAAGGAGGAGGAAUAGUGACCUUCUGUGGCCUGGUUCUGGUUCUGGUACUGGUUCUGAAUAUGUAUUGUACCGUGUGCAUUUAGUCUGGGUUACAGCAAUAAAGAUGCACUUUAAAUUGAGUUCAAUAACUGUAUAAUCAAGUGUCCAAAAAUGUUAUGCACCGUAUGCAUUGCAUCUGAAAAUGUGUGAACGUAAUGGAAAAUAACAUGUCAAACCAAAUCAAAUUUGAUUUAUCACAUGUGCCGAAUACAACCUUACCGUGAAAUGCUUACUUACAAGCCCUAAACCAACCAUGCAGUUAAAAAAUAAAAUAAGAGUUAAGACAAAUAUUUACUGGAUAAACUAAUGUAAAAAAUAAAAGAACAACAAUAAAAUAACAAUAACGAGGCUAUAUACAGGGGGUACCGGUACCGAGUCAGUGUGCGGGGUAGAGGUUAGUAGAGGUAAUUGAGGUAAUAUGUACAUGUAGGUACAGUUGGGGUAAAGUGACUAUGCAUAGACAAUAAAAUAAUGAACAGCGAGUAGCAGCAGCGUAAAAAGGGGGGCGGGGGUUAAUGCAUAUAGUCUGGGUAGCCAUUUGAUUAGCUGUCCUACAGUCUUAUGGCUUGGUAGUAGAAGCUGUUAAGUAGCCUUUUGGACCUAGACUUGGGGCUCCGGUACCACUUGCCGUGCGGUAGUAGAGAGAUCCGUCUAUGACUGGGCUGGCUGGAGUCUUUUUGGGGUGGCUGGAGUCUUUUUAGGGCCCUCCUCUGACACCGCCUGGUAUAGAGGUCCUGGAUGGCAGGAAGCUUGGCCCCAGUGAUGUACUGGGCCAGUACGCACUACCCUCUGUAGCGCUUUGUGGUCGGAGGCCGAGCAGUUGCCAUACCAGGCACUGAUGCAACCAGUCAGGCUCUCGAUGGUGCAGCUGUAUAACUUUGAGGAUCUGAGGACCCAUGCCAAAUAAUUUCAGUCUUGUGAGAGGGAAUAGGCGUUGUCGUGCCCUCUUUACGACUGUCUUGGUGUGUUUGGACCAAAUCAAAUCAAAUCAAAUCAAAUUUUAUUUGUCACAUACACAUGGUUAGCAGAUGUUAAUGCGAGUGUAGCGAAAUGCUUGUGCUUCUAGUUCCGACCAACAUGAUAGUUUGUUGGUGAUGUGGACACCAAGGAACUUGAAGCUCUCAACCUGCUCCACUACAGCCCUGUCGAUGAGAAUGGGGGCGUGGUCAGCCCUCCUUUUCCUGUAAUCCACGAUCAUCUCCUUUGUCUUGAUCACGUUGAGGGAGAGGUUGUUGUCCUGGCACCACACUGCCAGGUCUGUGACCUCCUCCCUAUAGGCUGUCUCAUUGUUAUUGGUGAUCAGGCCUACCACAAUUGUGUUGUCUGCAAACUUAAUGAUGGUGUGGUGACUUAUGACUAUAAUACUAUCUCUGUCUUCUAUACUGAUAUGCACUGCACUAAGUUAUGUGUAUUUCUGCAAUAAGCUAUGUGCAUUACUGCACUAAUUCAUGUGUAUUAAUGCACUAAGUCAUAUACGUUUUACUGCACUAAGUCAUCUGUAUUGCUUCACUAAGUCACGUGUAUUGCUUCACUAAGUCAUGUGUAUUUCUUCACUAAGUCAUGUAUAUUACUUCACUAAGUCAUGUGUAUUACUGCACUGCUUCACUAAGUCAUGUGUAUUUCUUCACUAAGUCAUGUAUAUUACUUCACUAAGUCAUGUGUAGUACUGCACAAAGUCAUGUGUAUUAAUGCACUAAGUCAUGUGUGUUACUGCACUAAGUCAUGUGUAUUGCUUCACUAAGUCAUGUGUAUUUCUUCACUAAGUCAUGUGUAUUACUUCACUAAGUCAUGUGUAUUACUGCACAAAGUCAUGUGUAUUAAUGCACUAAGUCAUGUGUGUUACUGCACUAAGUCAUGUGUAUUGCUUCACUAAGUUAUAGGUAUUGCUUCACUAAGUCAUGUGUAUUACUGCACUAAGUCAUGUGUACUACUGCCAUAUACAGUAUAAAUAAAGUUUCUGAUAUGUUAUUCUGUAAUGCUGCCGUUAGACUCUAGUCUUUAUCCCAGUAGUUGUCAACAUUGAUAACUGGGGGUUAGGUUGGUUUGGAGAUUAUACAGACUGUCACAAAGGGGGGCGACGGGCCGCAUCCUCGUCCAUACCCUCUGAGACUGUGGCUGCAUGUGUCAUCCGUUGCAAAUGACCAUGGGGAGCACCUCAGACACACACACACACCACACACACGCGCAAAACAUGUUGCGGGAAGAGACCGCAGCAGGCGUGAUGACAUGUUAAAUUACCCCGGUGAUGUAUAGCUUAAUGAACCCCUUGUGUUGAUCAGGCUCCACAUUAAUCAACAGCCAUGAACAGAUUCCCUUGAUAAACUGCAAUUUCAUUUAACCUUGGACAGCAACUUUAAUAGCUUCCACAGGACAACUGUCAAUACUUUCCUGGGUGUACAGUGAUUAAAUUGCAGGGCGAGAAGUGGGUCCCAGCUUCCUCCUCAUACUCAUCCCUCUAUCCUCUCCCC